rnacentral:rRNA from 1 species
AACGCGAAGAACCUUACCAGGAUUCGACAUGCCCUCUAUGGAUUUCCGAAAAGAAAUCCUUCACUUCGGGUGGGAGGAGCACAGGUGCUGCAUGGCUGUCGUCAGCUCGUGUCGUGAGAUGUUGGGUUAAGUCCCGCAACGAGCGCAACCCUCAUCCCUAGUUGCCACCGGGUCAAGCCGAGCACUCUAGUGAAACCGCCCCGGAUAACGGGGAGGAAGGUGGGGAUGACGUCAAGUCCUCAUGGCCUUUAUGUCCAGGGCUACACACGUGCUACAAUGGUCGGUACAAACCGUCGCAAAGCUGCAAAGUGGAGCUAAUCGGAAAAAGCCGGCCUCAGUUCGGAUUGGAGUCUGCAACUCGACUCCAUGAAGCUGGAAUCGCUAGUAAUCGCAGAUCAGAACGCUGCGGUGAAUACGUUCCCGGGCCUUGUACACACCGCUCGCGA